GACGAACGCUGGCGGCGUGCUUAACACAUGCAAGUCGAGCGGAAAGGCCACUUCGGUGGUACUCGAGCGGCGAACGGGUGAGUAACACGUGAGUAAUCUGCCCUUCACUUCGGGAUAGCUCCGGGAAACCGGGAUUAAUACCGGAUAUGACUACCUUCGGCAUCGGGGGUGGUGGAAAGUUUUUUCGGUGGGGGAUGUGCUCGCGGCCUAUCAGCUUGAUGGUGGGGUAAUGGCCUACCAUGGCUUCGACGGGUAGCCGGCCUGAGAGGGUGACCGGCCACACUGGGACUGAGACACGGCCCAGACUCCUACGGGAGGCAGCAGUGGGGAAUAUUGGACAAUGGGCGGAAGCCUGAUCCAGCAACGCCGCGUGAGGGAUGACGGCCUUCGGGUUGUAAACCUCUUUCAGCACAGACGAAGCGAAAGUGACGGUAUGUGCAGAAGAAGGACCGGCCAACUACGUGCCAGCCGCCGCAGUAACAC
rnacentral:rRNA from 1 species